UUCAAAUGAUGUUUAUCUCACGAUGGUCUUCCAAGCCCUCCGGGUUCUGACGACAACGCCAAACGGCAAAGCUGAUGUAGUGCU